rnacentral:rRNA from 1 species
GAUGAACGCUGGCGGCGUGCCUAAUACAUGCAAGUCGAACGCUGGAACUCUAGCUUGCUAGCUUGAAGGAGUGGCGAACGGGUGAGUAAUACAUAAGCAACCUACCCACGAAGACUGGGAUAAUCUCUGGAAACGGGGACUAAUACCGGAUAGGUAAUCGGAAGGCAUCUUCUGAUUAUUAAAGGUUAAAAACACUGGUGGAUGGGCUUAUGGCGCAUUAGUUAGUUGGUGAGGUAACGGCCCACCAAGACGAUGAUGCGUAGCCGGCCUGAGAGGGUGAACGGCCACAUUGGGACUGAGACACGGCCCAGACUCCUACGGGAGGCAGCAGUAGGGAAUUUUCGGCAAUGGGGGAAACCCUGACCGAGCAACGCCGCGUGAGUGAUGACGGCCUUCGGGGUGUAAAGCUCUGUUGUAAGGGAAGAACGGUAGAUAGAGAAUAUCUAAAUGACGGUACCUUACCAGAAAGCCACGGCUAACUACGUG